AGUAAGGUUGCCAGAGCUCAACGAGGGUGCGGAGUGUUAGGAUCGGCAACGCGCAUGUAACAUCUCUGGAGUUGCAGGUGUCCAUAGGCUACGGUGACUGCUUACCAUCAGGCGGGCCGUAUGCUUGUUUGCCACCGAUGUGGUAUAAAAAAAUAAAAAAUAAAAAUAAAAU